rnacentral:rRNA from 1 species
AGUGAACGCUGGCGGUAGGCCUAGCACAUGCAAGUCGAACGGCAGCACAGUAAGAGCUUGCUCUUACGGGUGGCGAGUGGCGGACGGGUGAGGAAUACAUCGGAAUCUACUUUUUCGUGGGGGAUAACGUAGGGAAACUUACGCUAAUACCGCAUACGACCUACGGGUGAAAGCAGGGGAUCUUCGGACCUUGCGCGAUUGAAUGAGCCGAUGUCGGAUUAGCUAGUUGGCGGGGUAAAGGCCCACCAAGGCGACGAUCCGUAGCUGGUCUGAGAGGAUGAUCAGCCACACUAGAACUGAGACACGGUCCAGACUCCUACGGGAGGCAGCAGUGGGGAAUAUUGGACAAUGGGCGCAAGCCUGAUCCAGCCAUACCGCGUGGGUGAAGAAGGCCUUCGGGUUGUAAAGCCCUUUUGUUGGGAAAGAAAAGCAGCAGGUUAAUACCCCGCUGUUCUGACGGUACCCAAAGAAUAAGCACCGGCUAACUCCGUG